AGAGAACGAGUUCGAGCUGGACCUGGACGAGCAGACGCGCCUGACAGAGGCCAGCCAGGCCAGGGUGGAGGAGGCCCGAUCUUCGAUAAUAGACCAGAAUGCUCGCAACAUGUACGUCAGGGACCAGAUCAAGAAGCAGUGCUGGGACGCCAUGGACGUCAAGGGCAAAUCCGUGCAGGGCCUGAUGCUGAACCUGGAUGUGUCAAACUACCCGCUGCUGGCGCGCUCGGACCAGCUGCGCGCCGUACUGGACGCG